rnacentral:rRNA from 1 species
GACGAACGCUGGCGGCGUGCCUAAUACAUGCAAGUUGAGCGAUGAAGAUUGGUGCUUGCACCAAUUUGAAGAGCAGCGAACGGGUGAGUAACGCGUGGGGAAUCUGCCUUUGAGCGGGGGACAACAUUUGGAAACGAAUGCUAAUACCGCAUAACAACUUUAAACAUAAGUUUUAAGGUUGAAAGAUGCAAUUGCAUCACUCAAAGAUGAUCCCGCGUUGUAUUAGCUAGUUGGUGAGGUAAAGGCUCACCAAGGCGAGGAUACAUAGCCGACCUGAGAGGGUGAGCGGCCACAUUGGGACUGGGACACGGCCCAAACGCCUACGGGAGGCAGCAGUAGGGAAUCUUCGGCAAUGGACGAAAGUCUGACCGAGCAACGCCGCGGGAGUGAAGAAGGUUUUCGGAUCGUAAAACUCUGUUGGUAGAGAAGAACGUUGGUGAGAGUGGAAAGCUCAUCAAGUGACGGUAACUACCCAGAAAGGGACGGCUAACUACGUG